UACGUAGGGGGCGAGCGUUGUCCGGAAUCAUUGGGCGUAAAGCGCGUGUAGGCGGCUUGGUAAGUCUGGUGUGAAAUCUCAGGGCUCAACCCUGAGCGUGCACUGGAUACUGCCUCGCUAGAGUCCGGGAGGGGAGAGCGGAAUUCCUAGUGUAGCGGUGAAAUGCGCAGAUAUUAGGAAGAACACCGGUGGCGAAGGCGGCUCUCUGGAACGGUACUGACGCUGAGACGCGAAAGCGUGGGGAGCGAACAGG
rnacentral:misc_RNA from 1 species